rnacentral:lncRNA from 1 species
CGGCGACGCCUCGAUUGCCGCUGAUAAACAUAAUGCUGCCGCGAUCUGAGCGUUCAUCUCCUGCUCCGUGAACAGCGCUUCGAGGAAGGGUUUGAUAAUUGAGGAAAACGGAGGUUGUGUGAGGUUUGAGGAGAUGGAAGUGCAUGCGGUGACGCAGGCGGUGCGGACGGCGGAGUCAGGGUCACGGAGGCGGCAGACGACAGCGGAGAGGAGUUUGGAGAGGUGAGGUGAGAGAGUGUUGCGGUGCUGCUCGGACAGAAGGGAGAUGAGACGGAGGCAUUGUUUUCGGACAGGAGAUUUGUCGGCGGAAUCGACUGCGGAGAUGGAGGAGAGGAAAGGAGGAACUGUUUCUGAUGAGAGGGUCUUAGCAAUGGAUUCGAG